CUAUCAAAAAAUAAAACUAUCAAAGACUCAAAUUCGGAAACGAUUGGUUUUUCCUUCAUACUACGGUGUUUUGACUGUGACCCAGUCGAGCUCCACAUCCCUCGCCGCUUCCUCAACUUAUCUCAACUGCCAGCGCGCCGGAGGAUGAGCAGAAGACGGAGUCGUUGCGGGCCGGCGAGCAGGUACUUAUCUCAACUUCCAGCGCGCCGCCACCACCUGCCGCUCCGCUGCGUGCCGCCACCACCGCCUCGCGCGCCGCCCUGGUCGCCGCCGCCGGCCUUGCGUCGCCUCAACGCCCGACCCCCGAGUCUCGCAGGCCCGCCACACACCUACUCUCUUCCAACAAUUCCGUGCAUCCCAGCUCGAUUACUUCAGGGAGGAGGAGGAUGACGACGAGGCAGAGCUGCUGGACACGGUCACACGACCGCCUGUCCCGGGAAGAUCUGCAGCAACGGUGGCCUCUGGUGCACGCGGAUGUCUGUGGAGGCGGAAAUUUAAUUCGACCUCACCUCGGGCUGUCGGCCUCCCCAAGUUCCUGCUGCCGGCGCCCUCCCGAAGCUCCUGCCGGCCUCCUCCCUGAGCCCCAAGCACGAACAAGUUGACCAAAUUAACUAGGAAACCCUUGACGGCAAGUUACUUCGGGACUGAUAGAAUCACCACAAAUUGAGAUGAGGCAUUCAAGCGGGCUGGACACACUGACACUCGAGCAGUAGGAUCCCUUGAACUGAAGAAAUGAAUAGGAAGAUACAUGCAAUUUAAGGUAGGCGCACACUAACGUCUCAGUAUCAGCACCAUAAUUUGUGUGUGUGUGUAUGAAUUUUUUAGUUUGUCUCAUGAUUGAUGCAUUCACCUUAGUACAGUAUAUCUUCUGUUUCAUGUGUUUUCUGUGUAAAAGUUGGGUCCCGAUGACCAAUAAGCAAAGAACAACCUUCUCCAACUGACAGUGUUAUUCUCCUAAACAAUUUGCCAUUUUGGUAUUUGCAUGGGGAAUAAAGAAGAACAUUCAUCAUUAGUACUUGAAGAGACUUGCCUGGUUGGGGCAGAACAGGAUCUGCUAUAGUGCAUGUUACUUGACUGCUCACUGUACGACUUCAAUAAAAUCAAGGUCUUUUCCUGAUGCAAGAAAAUGUUUUCUUGCUGCAAUGGUAAGCUAUUCUGAAUCCAUCUUAUAAUGUGGCUGCUCAUGUUUGGUGCAGACGUAGCGCAUGGCAGGGAGAUAAAGUGUUGAGAAAAAGGACGACGAUGUAAAGGGCAGAUGAUAGGGGAUUACUCAAUAAGUAUGCGGAGCUGCUAUAAAGUUUCCUCCUUUCUGUAUAGUUAUUUCACUAUCCACCUAAAUGUCAUCCCAUGUAUAUGUAGGAAACUAAUUUUGUGUUGCUAAAUUUUCUGUAUAUAUUUAAUAUUAUUCAGUGUUAAACUAAUAAUGAUCGAAACAAUGCUAGACUUACAUGUUGAUUCAUCAUUUGUAGACUUUUGGUUACAACUGAUAGAUAUGAGCAGUUUAGCACUAUUCUUGCUUAUAUAUCAAAAAAUAUUAUGAUCAGCAGGCUAAAUCUACCACAUGGGUCGUUAGCUCUGUUACCGUAACAUUGCACCAUCCUAACACGCGAGGAAAAUAAUUUCACAAGAUUCUCAUAUUAAGUAUCUAUUCAAAGAGGUAUGUGACAAUGUGCGGGAAGGAGAAAUUCACUCGGUAACAACACCGAUGCUACGGCUUGCAUGCUGAGAGUUGAGACCUGAUAGUGAGCAUGAUUGUGGGGAUGGUGCGUAUGAGGAUUUUUUUUCCUUCUCCCAUUGGGACACACAGGUAUAUUUGGGUUUAUAAUAUGGGUUGUUGCCCCAGUUGCUUUUGCUUGGCGAUAAUGGCAAUGCAGUUAUCACCAUGUUUGCACCGUUCUUCACAUGCACAUCCCUAGGCUCCUUAUGUUACUGUUCACCAUCACUGUUGAUUAUUUCUCCUUCUAUUCUGUUAUCCAAUAGGUAUUCUCUUACUACAUAUAAAUUUGGAGGACAAAGCAUUUAUUAUGUUGAUAUAUUAAACCCCAAAUUGCUGACAUUUAUUCUGUUGAUAUAUUAAACCCCAAAUUGCUGACAUGUAACGUCUUCUAUCUGAAUUUGUUUCAUAAAAUUAAUCAUUGGUUUAGUUUGAUAGAUUAAACCCAAAUUAGUUUAUGGACUGAACUAGAAAUAACACAAUCACAUAUUAGUUUUCUUUUUAAAUUUCAUAGUAGAGAUUUA